ACAUGAACAACGCAAUUAAAAAAACCAACAUUCUACAUAAAAGCGUUCCUACAAAGGCUUCUCUGAAUGCCCAUGAGGUAUGGAAAUCGUCUAUUAGAAUGGAGAAUGAUGCCCUUUUCUUUUCUUUUCUUUUUUUUUUUUUUUUAAAAAGAAAAAGAAGGAUGGCGUCGGUCUUGGGUGCAGUGUUACUCGGCCCUCUUUUUCGUUUUUCGGAAGAGGUUUGUGGGUGGGAUUGCAAUGACCGGCGGGACAU
rnacentral:sRNA from 1 species